CAGCAGCCGCGGUAAUACGGAGGGUGCAAGCGUUAAUCGGAAUUACUGGGCGUAAAGCGCACGCAGGCGGUCUGACAAGUCAGAUGUGAAAUCCCCGGGCUUAACCUGGGAACUGCAUUUGAAACUGUCAGGCUGGAGUCUUGUAGAGGGGGGUGGAAUUCCAGGUGUAGCGGUGAAAUGCGUAGAGAUCUGGAGGAAUACCGGUGGCGAAGGCGGCCCCCUGGACAAAGACUGACGCUCAGGUGCGAAAGCGUGGGGAGCAAACAGGAUUAGAUACCCCCGUAGUCCAUGUCUCUUAUAC
rnacentral:rRNA from 1 species